rnacentral:rRNA from 1 species
CAGUAGCCGCGGUAAUACGAAGGGUGCUAGCGUUGUUCGGAUUUACUGGGCGUAAAGCGCACGUAGGCGGAUCGAUCAGUCAGGGGUGAAAUCCCAGAGCUCAACUCUGGAACUGCCUUUGAUACUGUCGAUCUGGAGUAUGGAAGAGGUGAGUGGAAUUCCGAGUGUAGAGGUGAAAUUCGUAGAUAUUCGGAGGAACACCAGUGGCGAAGGCGGCUCACUGGUCCAUUACUGACGCUGAGGUGCGAAAGCGUGGGGAGCAAACAGGAUUAGAUACCCCAGUAGUCCCUGUCUCUUAUAC